GACGAACGCUGGCGGCGUGCUUAACACAUGCAAGUCGAACGAUGAAGAAGAGAAACGCGAACUUCGGUUCAAAUUUCACUUCGGAUUAGUGGCAGACGGGUGAGUAACGCGUGAGCAACCUACCUCUUACAAAGGGAUAGCCUCGGGAAACCGUGAUUAAUACCAUAUGACACAUUCAUAAGGCAUCUUAAGAAUGUUAAAGCUACGGCGGUAAGAGAUGGGCUCGCGUCCCAUUAGCUAGUUGGUGAGGUAACGGCCCACCAAGGCGACGAUGGGUAACCGGCCUGAGAGGGUGAACGGUCACAUUGGAACUGAGACACGGUCCAAACUCCUACGGGAGGCAGCAGCGGGGAAUAUUGCACAAUGGAGGGAACUCUGAUGCAGCGACGCCGCGUGAGCGAUGAAGGAAUUCGUUUCGUAAAGCUCUGUUCUAUGGGAAGAAAAGGACUGUACCAUAGGAGAAAGCCCCGGCUAAAUACGUG
rnacentral:rRNA from 1 species